UCUCUGGGCUGAGCUGCUCAGGAACUGGCAAGGAGUUGGGUUGACAGCGGCCAUUCAGUAAGCGUUGCUGGCAUUGACUCAGUGAAGCACCGAGAAACAGGUGAAAGGACACGCUUGGCAGCCCCCAGAGCGGCUGUGUCUUCAUCUGACCAUCACCCAUGUACAAAGGAGCUGGCUCUGCCUCAGCUUUGCAGGGUGCCGUUAAGAACAGGUGGCUUAGAAAUGCUGGUGACACACCCCUCUGCAAGGCUCCACAAGGAGCCACAUUGAAUUGAUCAUCACAGAACGACCUGGCAGCCCUGUCCCAGGGAGACCCCUGCCUGAGUGGACUCUGGAGCCACUCUUAAUGUGUGACGGUGGUUGGGGCCAGCAGGUGGACAUAGGUGGGCCGCUGGCCACAGGCAGCCUCAUGUGGCCAGUGCAGCAAGGCACUAGCACGCCUGCAUGUUUUCACACUGAUUGGUUAGUGCUCAGACAUCUGGUUCACACUGAUUGGUUGGUGCUCACACAUCUGGAGCCUGUGCAUUAGGAGGAGCUGGGCCAGCUGCUGCUACACUGGGAUACAAGCUCAGCCAGAGUAAUUAGUCCACGAAGCCCUAGAAAGCAGGGAGGAAUUUCUCCUAUGGUGUGUGGUUGACAGAUUACAAGUGAUGCUUUGUUUUGGGGGAAAAUGAAUUUGGAGUGCUUUAAACCCAAUUUAGAUGAAUCAUUGCAUCUUUGCAUUUUGAGUAAGACAAGCGGAGAGGCUGGGAGCCUUUGUCACCAGGACUAUGCACAUGUGAAUGCUCUUCACUGCCUGUUAUUCAUCCAACUUCCCUCAUGCUUUAAGGACAGAUUCAGGUGCUAUCUUCUCCACAAAGCUUUUUCAGCUUAUAAAAAUUGCUAUGAUUUGCUGCUAAGCACUUUCUUGUCUAUACAACAACUCUGUGAAGAUUUUAAGGAUUUAAGGAGUGAGAUUUAGAGGUUUUUUUUGAGAGAAGAUCUCACUACUUAGUUCAGGGGGCCUUGAACUCACUUUGUAGCCCAGGCUGGCCUCAAACUCACAGGGAUCCUCCUGCCUCAGCCUCCUGAGUACUAGGAUCACAGGUAUCUGCCAAAUCUGUCUUGGGCACAGGGUUUACUUUCAACAUAACUGAUAGAGUUGCUGUGAAGGAUGAAAGGAUAAGGCCCUUUGUUGGGUAUGUUCUGAAGAACCGACGUCUUUAUAAGAUCUUCCCUCCAGAUCCGAGAAUAGUCCUGGGCAGGCAACACAAGCUUGUACAGUGUUUGGUAUGGGGGAAAGAAGUUUAUCAAAUAAAUGAAUAACUGAAGCAAAGACAACCCUUCCAAAGGGAGACAACACUCACUCUUGAUAAAAGAAACCUGUCUACCACCAACGGUGUGAGGCUAUGACAGCACAGUUCUGUCUCCUGGUAGAGAAAUUCC